CGAGUCCCAAAUAGGAUGAAAUGCGCAUCCUGGAU
rnacentral:hammerhead_ribozyme from 1 species